AUAUACGACCGUACCGCAAACCGACACUGGUGCGCGAGAUGAGUAUUCUAAGGCGCUCGAGAGAACUCAGGAGAAGGAACUCGGCAAAUUGACACCGUAACUUCGGAAGAAGGUGUGCCCUAUUAGUGUGUAGUGAAUAACGAAGCAUGAAUGGGUUGCAAAAAAUCGGUGGCUGCGACUGUUUAUUAAAAACACAGCACUCUGCAAACACGAAAGUGGACGUAUAGGGUGUGACGCCUGCCCGGUGCUGGAAGAUUAAAUGAUGGGGUGCAAGCUCUUGAUUGAAGUCCCAGUAAACGGCGGCCGUAACAAUAACGGUCCUAAGGUAGCGAAAUUCCUUGUCGGGUAAGUUCCGACCUGCACGAAUGGCGUAACGAUGGCCACACUGUCUCCUCCUGAGACUCAGCGAAGUUGAAAUGUUUGUGAUGAUGCAAUCUCCCCGCGGAAAGACGGAAAGACCCCAUGAACCUUUACUGUAGCUUUGUAUUGGACUUUGAACAGAUCUGUGUAGGAUAGGUGGGAGGCUUUGAAGCAGGGUCGCUAGAUCUUGUGGAGCCAACGUUGAAAUACACCCUGGUGUGUUUGAGGUUCUAACCUAGGUCCAUUAUCUGGAUCGGGGACAGUGCAUGGUAGGCAGUUUGACUGGGGCGGUCUCCUCCCAAAGCGUAACGGAGGAGUUCGAAGGUACGCUAGUUACGGUCGGACAUCGUGACGAUAGUGCAAUGGCAUAAGCGUGCUUAACUGCGAGACUGACAAGUCGAGCAGAUGCGAAAGCAGGACAUAGUGAUCCGGUGGUUCUGUAUGGAAGGGCCAUCGCUCAACGGAUAAAAGGUACUCUGGGGAUAACAGGCUGAUACCGCCCAAGAGUUCAUAUCGACGGCGGUGUUUGGCACCUCGAUGUCGGCUCAUCUCAUCCUGGGGCUGUAGCCGGUCCCAAGGGUAUGGCUGUUCGCCAUUUAAAGAGGUACGUGAGCUGGGUUUAAAACGUCGUGAGACAGUUUGGUCCCUAUCUUCCGUGGGCGCUGCAGAUUUGAGGAAGCCUGCUCCUAGUACGAGAGGACCGGAGUGGACACACCUCUGGUGUAUCGGUUGUCACGCCAGUGGCAUUGCCGAGUAGCUAAGUGUGGAAGAGAUAACCGCUGAAAGCAUCUAAGCGGGAAACUCGUUUCAAGAUGAGAUCUGCCGGGGCCUUGAGCCCCCUAAAGAGUCGUUCAAGACCAGGACGUUGAUAGGUCAGGUGUGGAAGC
rnacentral:rRNA from 1 species